CCUGAGAUUCUCCAGGCAAGAACACUGGAGUGGGUUGCCAUUUCCUUCUCCAAUGCAUGAAAGUGCAGUCACUCAGUUGUGUCCAACAUUCACUGCAAACACCUAAUUCUUCAGUUUUACUUCCACAAAAUACUCUUGACUCUAGCACAGCUGUCCUGGACCACUGCAACAGCAUAAUAGGUUUUCUUUUAAUUGGAAUAUAAUUGCUGUACAACAUUGUGGUUUCUGUAGUACAAUCAUGUCAAUCAAUCAUACGUAUACAUACAUCCUCUCCCUCCCAACCCCUCAUCUCACGUGUCCCCCAUCAAGGUCACCACAGACCACCGAGCUGAGCUUCCUGUGUUAGCAGCAGCUUCCCACUAGCUGUCUGUUUCACACAUGGUAGUGUACAUAUCCAUGUUACUCUCUCAAUUCAUCCCACCCUCUCUUUUCCCGCUCUGUGUCCACAAGUCCCUUCUGUAUAUCUUGCCUCUAUUCCUGCGCUGCAAACAGGUUCGUCAGUACCAAUAUUCAGUAUUUGUUUUUCUCUUUCUGACUUACUUCACUCUGUAUCACAGGCUCUAGGCUCAUCCACAUCACAACAACUGUUUUUUGCUACACUUAUACACACAACAAAGUGAUUUUUUUUUUUUAAAUCAGAAGCAAAAUCAUGUCAUUCCUUCCUUCAAAUCCUCUAGUCACUGCUCGGGAACCUAGAAUAAAAUUUGUAAGCCAUGAAUUACCAGGUAUCUGCUUAUCUCCACAUCAGCCCAUUCUACUCCAGGUUUAUCUCUAUUUCUAGAAACUGCCGAGCUCUUUCCCACCCUCAGUGCCUUGGCAUAUGCUGUUUCCUCUGGAUUGCCUUUCCUUAUAGCUCUUCACAUGGCUGACUCCUGCCUUGUGGGACUCAGUUGAAAGGUUCUCCGUUCAACAAGACCUUCCCUGAUCCAAUUCAUAGGCUCUUCCCUCAUCUUUUACUUUCUACCUUAAAAUCCUGUUGAUUUUCUUCAUAAGAUUUUUCACGCUUAAAAAUUUUAUACUUGUUCACUUGUGUGUUGUCUCUGCCUCCGUCCCUCUCCCCCAACCCCUCUCUUUUGACAUAGACAUACAACCCUUGAGACCAAAAGCCCUAUGACAGCCAGAUGCUGCCUAAGUUUCAUUUAUAUAUUCAGGAGAUACGAAGCACUUAUUGAAGAAACGAUGAUUAGCCAGGUGAAAAAUACCAACUCCAGAACUAUGGGCUCUGCUGGGACUAAGGCCUAAGACACCCAUGCUGCUUUUUCUCCUCCUCUUCUUCCCAGGCCUAAGGACACCAGGAAAUAUGAGGUACUGGUGGGAUCACUUCAGGUCUCUGGUCACCAAGGCAUCAAAACAACGAUCAUCCUGUGUCCAGGAUUAUUCCCUACCCCGAUGUCCAGGGACACGCAUCUAGUGCCCUCGCUGUGGCAGAGCUGGCCCGCCCACCUUCCUUCAGCCCCCUUGUCCUGCCCAUCUGUCUCCCGACAUCAGCAGUCCAGCUGAAGAACGCAAUCUCCUGCUGGGUGACGGGAUGGGACAAUUCAGGGAUAUUCCAAUCUAUGACACCACCUUACACACUGAAGGAGCUAAAAGUGCACCUCAUCGAUCUCCAGACAUGCAAGAAAUAUCAGAAAGAAAGCUUGUUACGAGGAGUCGAGCCCAUCAGUGAAGCUGUGAUCUAUCUGUUCCCGGCUCCCAGUGGGGCAGCCAGAUGGGUGUAUAGUAAGAAUCCCUUCCCACAGGCAUCUCUCAGAGCUUCGCCUGUCCCCAGCAUGCUUCCUCCAUGUCCUCGUAGCUCUGUGGGCCCGGGUGAACCCAGGAGUGCCGGGACAGGCCCAGACUCCACAGCUCUUGGCUGAACUAUGAGUCUCUUGCCCUGUGCAUGCCUAGCCAUAUGUCAUCUCUCCUUCAGGCCAGGAGAGGAGAUCCCCUGAUGUGCAUAGGGAAGGACUUCUGGGUUCUAGCAGGAGUGAUGAGCUGGGGAUCAAACUGCAUCGGAAUCAACGAGCCUGGAGUAUUUACAAACAUCAGUUUCUACAAGUCUUGGAUUGAGAAGUCAGCCAUCUCAUAUGCUGACCUUUCUGCUACCCCCAGGUCAGACUUCUCCAGGUUCUUCCCGGUAAUGCUUCUGCCUCUCAUAUUCCUGGGGCCACCCUAACUAGCUGAGGGAGAAAGAGGAAAUGCUUUAAAUUGAGGAUUUUGAGGAAAGAUUUUAAAGAUUCAGCAAGAAAGAAGCAGGUCAGCUACCUCUAGGCACAGCCCUCAGGAGCCAGAUCCGCUUGCUGCCUUGUCUCCUACAGGUCAACAUGGAAAGCAAGGUCCCCCAUGUGAAUAAAGUUUGGUUGAUUCUA